CGGCGCGCCUAACAAUGCAAGUCGCACGAGAAAGUGGAGCAAUCCAUGAGUACAGUGGCGUACGGGUGAGUAACACGUGGAUCAUCUGCCCUGGAGUGGGGAAUAACGCUGGGAAACCGGCGCUAAUACCGCAUAUUCCCGAGAGGGGAAAGCAGCAAUGCGCUCGAGGAGGAGUCCGCGGCCGAUUAGCUAGUUGGCAGGGUAAAAGCCUACCAAGGCUGUGAUCGGUAGCCGGCCUGAGAGGGCACACGGCCACACUGGCACUGAAACACGGGCCAGACUCCUACGGGAGGCAGCAGUGGGGAAUCUUGCACAAUGGGGGAAACCCUGAUGCAGCGACGCCGCGUGAGCGAUGAAGCCCUUCGGGGCGUAAAGCUCUUUCGGCAGGGACGAUUAUGACGGUACCUGCAGAAGCAGCUGCGGCUAACUACGUGC
rnacentral:rRNA from 1 species